GACGAACGCUGGCGGCGUGCCUAAUACAUGCAAGUCGAGCGCAGGAAGCUGACGGAACUCUUCGGAGGGAAGGCAGUGGAAUGAGCGGCGGACGGGUGAGUAACACGUAAGGAACCUGCCUCAAGGAUUGGGAUAACUCCGAGAAAUCGGAGCUAAUACCGGAUAGUUCAACGGACCGCAUGGUCCGCUGAUGAAAGGCGCUUCGGCGUCACCUUGAGAUGGCCUUGCGGUGCAUUAGCUAGUUGGUGGGGUAACGGCCCACCAAGGCGACGAUGCAUAGCCGACCUGAGAGGGUGAUCGGCCACACUGGGACUGAGACACGGCCCAGACUCCUACGGGAGGCAGCAGUAGGGAAUCUUCCACAAUGGACGAAAGUCUGAUGGAGCAACGCCGCGUGAGUGAUGAAGGUUUUCGGAUCGUAAAACUCUGUUGUAAGGGAAGAACACGUACGAGAGGGAAUGCUCGUACCUUGACGGUACCUUACGAGAAAGCCACGGCUAACUACGUGCCAGCAGCCGCCGCGGUAA
rnacentral:rRNA from 1 species